rnacentral:rRNA from 1 species
GACGAACCGUGCGACCGUUAUUCGGAAUCACUGGGCGUAAAGAGCGUGUAGGCGGCCUGAAAGGUCAGCUGUGAAAACUCGAGGCUCAACCUCGAGACGUCGGUUGAAACCAUCUGGCUAGAGUCCGGAAGAGGAGUGUGGAAUUCCCGGUGUAGCGGUGAAAUGCGCAGAUAUCGGGAAGAACACCCGUGGCGAAGGCGGCACUCUGGGACGGUACUGACGCUGAGACGCGAAAGCGUGGGGAGCGAACAGG